rnacentral:rRNA from 1 species
UGGGUGAUCUGCCCUGCACUUCGGGAUAAGCCUGGGAAACUGGGUCUAAUACCGGAUAUACCUCAUUGAUCUCCUGGUUGGUGGGGGAAAGCUUUUGCGGUGUGGGAUGGGCCCGCGGCCUAUCAGCUUGUUGGUGAGGUUACGGCUCACCAAGGCGUCGACGGGUAGCCGGCCUGAGAGGGUGUCCGGCCACACGUGGGACUGAGAUACGGCCCAGACUCCGUACGGGAGGCAG